rnacentral:rRNA from 1 species
UAGAGUUUGAUCAUGGCUCAGGAUGAACGCUGGCGGCGUGCCUAAUACAUGCAAGUCGAGCGGUAAGGUUCUGCACUUAGUAUUUGACCCUGGUAAGUCUAGUAAUAGAUACUGCCAAGAAACGUAGCUUCUAGGCUAGAAGAUAUUGUCGAAUUUUAAGUGUAGAAUACACGAGCGGCGGACGGCUGAGUAACGCGUAGGAACGUACCCCAAAGUGAGGGAUAACUGCUCGAAAGAGUAGCUAAUACCGCAUGUGCUCUAAGGAGUAAAGCUUCGGCGCUUUGGGAACGGCCUGCGUAUGAUUAGCUUGUUGGUGAGGUAAAAGCUCACCAAGGCGACGAUCAUUAGCUGGUCUGAGAGGAUGAUCAGCCAGACUGGGACUGAGACACGGCCCAGACUCCUACGGGAGGCAGCAGUAGGGAAUUUUCCACAAUGGGCGAAAGCCUGAUGGAGCAACGCCGCGUGCAGGAUGAAGGCCUUAGGGUUGUAAACUGCCUUUAUAUGUGAAGAUUUUGACGGUAGCAUAUGAAUAAGGAUCGGCUAACUCCGUGCCAGCAGCCGCGGUCAUACGGAGGAUCCAAGCGUUAUCCGGAAUUACUGGGCGUAAAGAGUUGCGUAGGUGGCAUAGUAAGUAGACAGUGAAAUUGUGUGGCUCAACCAUACACACAUUGUCUAAACUGCUAAGCUAGAAUAUGAGAGAGGUAGCUGGAAUUCCUAGUGUAGGAGUGAAAUCCGUAGAUAUUAGGAGGAACACCGAUGGCGUAGGCAGGCUACUGGCUUAUUAUUGACACUAAGGCACGAAAGCGUGGGGAGCGAACAGGAUUAGAUACCCUGGUAGUCCACGCCGUAAACUAUGGAUGCUAGCUGUUAUUCGUAUCGACCCGAAUAGUAGCGAAGCUAACGCGUUAAGCAUCCCGCCUGUGGAGUACGAGCGCAAGCUUAAAACAUAAAGGAAUUGACGGGGACCCGCACAAGCGGUGGAGCGUGUUGUUUAAUUCGACGGUAAGCGAAGAACCUUACCCAGGCUUGACAUCCUUGGAAUCUCCUCGAAAGAAGAGAGUGCCUUCGGGAAUCAAGUGACAGGUGAUGCAUGGCCGUCGUCAGCUCGUGUCGUGAGAUGUUUGGUUAAGUCCAUUAACGAGCGCAACCCUUGUGAUUAGUUGAAUUUUUCUAAUCAGACUGCCCUGGUAACAGGGAGGAAGGAGGGGAUGAUGUCAGGUCAGUAUUUCCCUUAUGUCUGGGGCUACAAACACGCUACAAUGGCCGGUACAAAGGGCAGCCAACCCGCGAGGGGGAGCAAAUCCCAUCAAAACCGGUCCCAGUUCGGAUAGCAGGCUGAAACUCGCCUGCUUGAAGUCGGAAUCGCUAGUAACGGUGAGUCAGCACAUUACCGUGAAUACGUUCCCGGGUCUUGUACACACCGCCCGUCAAACCAUGAAAGUCACCAAUACCUGACGUCUUAGCUAGUCUAGGCCUAAGGUAGGGGGGAUAAUUGGGGUUAAGUCGUAACAAGGUAACCGU